GAUGAAGAACGCAGUGAAAUGCGAUAAGUAGUGUGAAUUGCAGAAUUCAGUGAAUCAUCGAGUCUUUGAACGCACAUUGCGCCCCCUGGUAUUCCGGGGGGCAUGCCUGUCCGAGCGUCAUUGCUGCCCUCAAGCACGGCUUGUGUGUUGGGCCUCCGCCCCCCGGCUCCCGGGGGGCGGGCCCGAAAGGCAGCGGCGGCACCGCGUCCGGUCCUCGAGCGUAUGGGGCUUCGUCACCCGCUCCGUAGGCCCGGCCGGCGCCCGCCGGCGACCCCCCUCAAUCUUUCCAGGUUGACCUCGGAUCAGGUAGGGAUACCCGCUGAACUUAAGCAUAUCAAUAAGCGGAGGA
rnacentral:misc_RNA from 1 species